UAGGAUGAGACUAUAUUGUAUCAGCUAGUUGGUAAGGUAAUGGCUUACCAAGGCUAUGACGCAUAACUGGUCUGAGAGGAUGAUCAGUCACACUGGAACUGAGACACGGUCCAGACUCCUACGGGAGGCAGCAGUAGGGAAUAUUGCUCAAUGGGCGAAAGCCUGAAGCAGCAACGCCGCGUGGAGGAUGACACUUUUCGGAGCGUAAACUCCUUUUCUUAGGGAAGAACAAUGACGGUACCUAAGGAAUAAGCACCGGCUAACUCCGUGCCAGCAGCCGCGGUAAUACGGAGGGUGCAAGCGUUACUCGGAAUCACUGGGCGUAAAGGACGCGUAGGCGGAUUAUCAAGUCUUUUGUGAAAUCUAAUGGCUUAACCAUUAAACUGCUUGAGAAACUGAUAAUCUAGAGUGAGGGAGAGGCAGAUGGAACUGGUGGUGUAGGGGUAAAAUCCGUAGAGAUCACCAAGAAUACCCAUUGCGAAGGCGAUCUGCUAGAACUCAACUGACGCUAAUGCGUGAAAGCGUGGGGAGCAAACAGGAUUAGAUACCCUGGUAGUCCACGCCCUAAACGAUGCAUACUCGUUGUUGCUCUGCUAGUCAGGGCAGUAAUUCAGCUAACGCAUUAAGUAUGCCGCCUGGGGAGUACGGUCGCAAGAUUAAAACUCAAAGGAAUAGACGGGGACCCGCACAAGCGGUGGAGCAUGUGGUUUAAUUCGAAGAUACGCGAAGAACCUUACCUGGGCUUGAUAUCCUAAGAACCUCUUAGAGAUAAGAGGGUGCUAGCUUGCUAGAACUUAGAGACAGGUGCUGCACGGCUGUCGUCAGCUCGUGUCGUGAGAUGUUCGGUUAAGUCCGGCAACGAGCGCAACCCACGUAUUUAGUUGCUAACAGUUUGGCUGAGCACUCUAAAUAUACUGCCUUCGUAAGGAGGAGGAAGGUGUGGACGACGUCAAGUCAUCAUGGCCCUUAUGCCCAGGGCGACACACGUGCUACAAUGGCAUAUACAAUGAGACGCAAUACCGCGAGGUGGAGCAAAUCUAUAAAAUAUGUCCCAGUUCGGAUUGUUCUCUGCAACUCGAGAGCAUGAAGCCGGAAUCGCUAGUAAUCGUAGAUCAGCCAUGCUACGGUGAAUACGUUCCCGGGUCUUGUACUCACCGCCCGUCACACCAUGGGAGUUGAUUUCACUCGAAGCCCAAAUACCAAACUGGUUAUGGUCCACAGUGGAAUCAGCGACUGGGGUGAAGUCGUAACAAGGUAACCGUAGGAGAACCUGCGGUUGGAUCACCUCCUUUCUA
rnacentral:rRNA from 1 species